GCCUCGGUGGUGUAAUGGAAAACACGGCAGACCGGAUAUCUGUAAGUGCGGGUACGAUUCCCGCCUGAGGUC
rfam:Dictyocaulus viviparus strain HannoverDv2000 D_viviparus-1.0_Cont775.7, whole genome shotgun sequence.